rnacentral:lncRNA from 1 species
CGUGGCCCCUUCCAGACCCAGGGUGGAUUAGUCUCUCCUCCCAGUUGCGGUCUUGGUAGUCUUCGGUGGCGGUGCUCUCUGAAGCGGGCGAACAGUUUUGCCCAGAGAAGGAGGAAAGUAGUAGAAGCUGACCCUGAUUUGGUCUUUAGUUCCCUUGGCACAGCAGAUUUGAAGGCUCAGAGAGAGGCAGCUUCUGAUCCCUACAGAAAGAA